GUGCAUGUUGGUUUUGUUUGUGUCCUUUAUUCCCAUAGGACACAUUUUAUCCUUACAUGCAAUAUAAUCACAAGGGGUAAUCAGGGCUGCCAGCCUUUUAAGUACAGGCUGAGUGGUAGUAUAUUACCCCUACAUUA